UACGUAGGGUGCGAGCGUUGUCCGGAAUUAUUGGGCGUAAAGAGCUCGUAGGCGGCUUGUUGCGUCGGAUGUGAAAGCCCGGGGCUUAACUCCGGGUCUGCAUUCGAUACUGGCAGGCUAGAGUUCGGUAGGGGAGAUCGGAAUUCCUGGUGUAGCGGUGAAAUGCGCAGAUAUCAGGAGGAACACCGGUGGCGAAGGCGGAUCUCUGGGCCGAUACUGACGCUGAGGAGCGAAAGCGUGGGGAGCGAACAGG
rnacentral:rRNA from 1 species